CAGUUAUACGCUAUUACAAUAUUGCAUGUAUGCCCCCUACGCUGUUUUACACUAUUCAACUAUUGUAAUAUUUAUUAAUUGGGUUCGUAUCAUUCGUAUCGUGUUCGCUGUUGUCUGCUUGACGUCCCUACAGAUUGUUAAUAAUUGUAUUGCAUCAACCCUAUACUCUUGUUUUCAUUGUUUAAAUUUAUUUAAAUUGAAAUACAAUGAGUGAUUGCGAUUCUUCAAUUGAAGUCGAUCAGGUUGCAGAUUCGAAAAAACCAAUUUUAUCCUGGCCAAAUUAUCAAAAAUAUUUUAAAGUAUUAACUAUUAAGAGUCAUUGAGGAUAAUUUUUUUUACAAGAAACUGGCAGUGAAAUGCUUAAGUUGUGUCGGUACAAAGUGUUACAAGGUGGAUUCACGUUCAAACUCUAAUAUAAGAAAACAUUUAAGUACACAACAUUCAACUAUAUUAAAGAAAAUUGAUCACGUUGAUAACGCAACGAACAAAAACACUUUAAGGAGAUGAAAUGAUGGAUCAUUGAAGCAUAAUGCUGGUAAUUCUUUAAGACAAUCAGAUAAAAACAACCAGUUUUAGAAGAUUUUUUAAACAACAAAAAAUUAACUAGUCAAAGACUCUAAAAAAGCUUUGUCUAAUCUUGCAUACAAAAAACAGUCAAGAAGCACUUUUGCCAAGUCUACCGCUUUGUGGAACAAAGAAGGUCGCUCAACUAAGUCAGUUGAUUUAGUUAAACAAAAUCUUGGUGUUUAUUUAAUUACGCCCAACGAGACACAUUGGAAUUCACUGUAUGAUGCAGUGGUGCUGCUUAGUAAAUAAAUUAAAAAUAAUGAACCUAAGUUUAGAAUAAUAAUGGACUAACUGGCUAUUGGCAGAUUUGAUAGAAGUGAUAUUGAUUUCAUGUGUUAAUAUCAAACAAUUAUGAGGGCAAUUUCAAUAAGCUUGGAUUUACUCCAGGGUGAUACUAACAUGUACUUUGGUAAUCUCCUACCUACAAUUUAAGAAUUAAAUUAUAAAUAUGAAUUAAUGACAAGUGAUCAAACAAUUUCUAAUUAUAUGAAACUUCUGGUGACUACCAUACUGCCAUUAUGCAUAAAAACAAGGUUUGCCGAUUAUUUGAUAGACAAGUUUUUAAGUACUGCUGAAGUCUGCCACCCACUAUUUAAAAAAGCAUAAAUUACAAAUGAUAUAAAAAAAUAAUUGGCCCCAGAGUAUAAAGUGCCUGUUAUGACUUACAUACCAGUGAUAAUGACAAUAAUGUUGUAGAAGAUAACCAAAUGAAAGAUAAUUUACCUUCCUUUUUUACCUGGUCACAAAAUUCCUGAAAUUAAAAAUCAACAGUUACUGAUGAAAUAGAUAGAUAUUUGGGCUCUUCUCCAACAAAGACUUUAGAUUGUUUGCAUAAUUUACCCACUAUCAAAAAAUUUUCAGGUAUUUGUACAACACUCCACUACCUAGCAGUGAAUCAGUAGAGAGAGUGUUUAGUGUUGGUGGUGCAACAAUUACAAAAAAAAAGAACAAAUAUGACGAAUCAAUAUUUUGAACAAAUAAUGUUCUUAAAAUGCAACACUCAAA